AUUGGUGUUUCAUUACAGCGUGACCCACCUGUUCCCAUUCCGAACACAGAAGUGAAACCGCUAUAACCUGAUGGUACUUGUUGCUUCGGCGACUGGGAGAGUAGGGUACGCCGGUC
rnacentral:rRNA from 1 species